GGCUUUAUUUAGGUAGUGAAUCGUUACAUCAAUUUUAGAUAACUAACAGUUCUUAAAUGUUCAAUACGGAUCGUUCCUUCGUGUUCAGGCAGGUUCUUCUUGUAGUAGUUUACUAACGUUCACUCAGCCUUUAAAUCUUCGUUGUCUUUAGUCUGUCUUCUUUGUCCGUGCUGUUUCGUUUUGAGUAUUCGUAGCUUUUCAUCAUUUAAGUUUUACUUCGUCUACGUCCACUGUCGACUUUCGAUUGUGCACGUCCUUUUAUACUAACGGUUGAGGGAAUCUCUGUACACGUGAUGUAGCAAGUGGUGUGAUUUGUAUCCAGCCAAUCAACGUUGAGCUAUGGAAGAGUGGGUUGGCUUUGCUAGCUCGUUCCAGCUCUCGCAUUCUGUUUAUUUAAGGCGUUGUCGCACUUGUCGAGUCGGUUCGCUGUUAAAUCGAUCAAUGCCAAAUCAGGUUCACAACUUAAAAUACUUUUGCAGGUCUUAUAGUAAAAAC